AUCGAUGAAGAACGCAGCGAAAUGCGAUAAGUAAUGUGAAUUGCAGAAUUCAGUGAAUCAUCGAAUCUUUGAACGCACCUUGCGCUCCUUGGUAUUCCGAGGAGCAUGCCUGUUUGAGUGUCGCGAACUUCUCAACCUUGGCAAUUUUAGUUUUGCCGAGGCUUGGAUCGUGGAGGUUCUGCCGGACUUGAUAAUAACGAGUUGGGCUCCUCUGAAAUGCAUCAGCAGACUUCUUUUAAAUUGCUGGCUUUGGUUUGAUAAUUUAUCUAUGUCAUCGCCAUCUGUUAAAGGGUCAGCUUACAAUCGUCCUCUUGGACAAACACUUGACGCUUUGACCUCAAAUCAGGUAGGACUACCCGCUGAACUUAAGCAUAUCAAUAAGCGGAGGAAAAGAAACUAACAAGGAUUCCCGUAGUAACGGCGAGUGAAGUGGGAAAAGCUCAAAUUUGAAAUCUGGCAGCCUAUCUUUGGCUUGCCCGAGUUGUAACCUAGAGAAGCGUCUUUCCGUUGCUGGACCGUGUACAAGUCUCUUGGAAUAGAGCGUCGUAGAGGGUGAGAAUCCCGUCUUUGACACGGACUGCCGGCACGUUUGUGAUGCGCUCUCGAAGAGUCGAGUUGUUUGGGAAUGCAGCUCAAAAUGGGUGGUAAAUUCCAUCUAAAGCUAAAUAUUGGCGAGAGACCGAUAGCGAACAAGUACCGUGAGGGAAAGAUGAAAAGAACUUUGGAAAGAGAGUUAAACAGUACGUGAAAUUGUUGAAAGGGAAACGCUUGGAGUCAGUCACGUCGGGCAGGGAUCAACCUCGCUUUUGCUUGGUGUACUCUCUGUUUUUACCGACGGGUCAGCGUCAAUUUUGACCGUCGGACAAAGUCCAUCGGAAUGUGACAUUUCCUUCGGGAGAUGUGUUAUAGCCCUUGGUCGUAUGCGACGGUUGGGAUUGAGGAACUCGGCACGCCGUACGGUUGUUGCUCAGGAUGCUGGCAUAAUGGCUUUAAUCGACCCGUCUUGAAACACGGA
rnacentral:rRNA from 1 species